rnacentral:rRNA from 1 species
GAUGAACGCUGGCGGCGUGCCUAAUACAUGCAAGUCGAGCGAACGGUCGGGAAGCUUGCUCCCCUGAUGUUAGCGCCGGACGGGUGAGUAACACGUGGAUAACCUACCUAUAAGACUGGGAUAACUUCGGGAAACCGGAGCUACUACCGGAUGAUUUAUCGAACCGCAUGGUUCAAAAGUGAAAGACGGUCUUGCUGUCACUUAUAGCUGGCUCCGCGCUGCAUUAGCUAGUUGGUAAGGUAACGGCUUACCAAGGCAACUAUGCAUAGCCGACCGGAGAGGUUGAUCGGCCACACGGGAACUGAGACACGGUCCAGACUCUGACGGGAGGCAGCAGUAGGGAAGCUUCCGCAAUGGGCGAAAGCCUGACGGAGCAACGCCGCGUGAGUGAUGAAGGUCUUCGGAUCGUAAAACUCUGUUAUUAGGGAAGAACAUAUGUGUAAGUAACUGUGCACAUCUUGACGGUACCUAAUCAGAAAGCCACGGCUAACUACGUG